GACGAACGCUGGCGGCGUGCUUAACACAUGCAAGUCGAACGGAAAGGCCCUGCUUGCAGGGUACUCGAGUGGCGAACGGGUGAGUAACACGUGGGUGAUCUGCCCUGCACUUCGGGAUAAGCCUGGGAAACUGGGUCUAAUACCGGAUAGGAGCCAUUUUUAGUGUGAUGGUUGGAAAGUUUUUUCGGUGUAGGAUGAGCUCGCGGCCUAUCAGCUUGUUGGUGGGGUAAUGGCCUACCAAGGCGGCGACGGGUAGCCGGCCUGAGAGGGUGGACGGCCACAUUGGGACUGAGGGACGGCCCAGACUCCUAAGGGAGGAAGCAGUGGGGAAGAUUGAACAAUGGGCGCAAGCCUGAUGCAGAGAGGCCGCGUGGGGGAUGACGGCCUUCGGGUUGUAAACGCCUUGCGCGAGGGACGAAGCUUUUUGUGACGGUACCUAGAUAAGAAGCACCGGCUAACUACGUG
rnacentral:rRNA from 1 species